UACGGGGGGGGCAAGCGUUGUUCGGAAUUACUGGGCGUAAAGGGCUCGUAGGUGGCCAACUAAGUCGGACGUGAAAUCCCUCGGCUCAACCGGGGAACUGCGUCUGAUACUGGGUGGCUUGAAUCCGGGAGAGGGAUGCGGAAUUCCAGGUGUAGCGGUGAAAUGCGUAGAUAUCUGGAGGAACACCGGUGGCGAAGGCGGCAUCCUGGACCGGCAUUGACGCUGAGGCGCGAAAGCCAGGGGAGCAAACGGG
rnacentral:rRNA from 1 species